CCUGUAGUAAAUAAAUGAUUGCAUUUCCCAUGAUUUAGUUAAUUUUUAAAAAAAAAAACAGAAAAAAAAACUAUGUAAUUGUAAGUGUAAGCAUAAAUAUAAAAACAUGAAAAUUCAAACCUCGUGGAGAGGAGAGCGAGAACGAGAGAGGGAGGGACGAUCUUCAAAGUCAAGGCUUUCUCGAGGAACUUCCAUGUGAUAGGAACGUGAUUGUCCCAGCAGAUGUGAGAGACGAGGAGGUGAGCCAGCUCGGUGGAUGGGAGAGUCGGCCCGUCCCCGUCGGCGGCCGAGUUGAGCGUGGAGCUGAGUUGAAUCGCCCAUGUCAGAGGGUCGGUGUUCCGGUCCUGCGCCGUCUUCGUCAGCUCCAGCACUUCGCGCCAUAGACUCUGUUGUUGAUGAUUCACCGCCAUCAGUUUCAAGGCUCUUCUUCUAGAGAUUGUAGAUACAAUUUUUCAUUCCAUUUAGUUACACGGUAAGAGAGCGACACCUGCUGUACGGCCAAGGCGGAUGUACGGUACAGCAGUCAUUCCAUGUUUGGUCUUCUUCAAUUUCUCCAAUUUCUCCCUGGGCAGCCCACAGCUAGCAAUAUCUCUAACACAAUGCAUUAAAAUAGAGAGAAUUUCCUCUUUCAUGAACAUGACAUCUCUAACAGAACGGUGAACUCGCAAGUAGAGAAUACCAGGGCCAACUGGAGAGAUACCGCCUGAAAAGUGUGAGCCAAAUCCAUGGCCAAGAAGGGCACCUACACCACCAUUGCUGUAAUUGUGAGAGGAAGUCAACCCAAGAGUGGAUGUGAAGCAGCUCUUGAGGAGUUGGACUACAGCAUCAGUAUUAUAGUGGAAGACUGUGCCAGAAGCAGAGAACACAAGGAAGUCAUUCCAACGCUUUACUUUCUGAGCCCAUAGUGAGGCUACAAUGGGCAUGCAUGGCCAGGGGCAACUAGAGGCAAGAGAACUCAAGCCAAGGCCUACUAGAGCGAGAAAACGAUCAGAGGCUUUAUCAAGUUUAAAUGUUAUUGUGAGGCUAACUAGGGCAGCCAAUGGUAAAGGAAGCGUAGCUGGAGAAUUUCCCCCUGCAAGCAAACAAGUUUGAGGCAUAAUAUCAAACAGACUGAUUUAUAGAACCAUAAAAUUCCCGGUAAAUCUGAAAGCAUAAAUAUAAAAACAUGAAAAUUCAAACCUCGUGGAGAGGAGAGCGAGAACGAGAGAGGGAGGGACGAUCUUCAAAGUCAAGGCUUUCUCGAGGAACUUCCAUGUGAUAGGAACGUGAUUGUCCCAGCAGAUGUGAGAGACGAGGAGGUGAGCCAGCUCGGUGGAUGGGAGAGUCGGCCCGUCCCCGUCGGCGGCCGAGUUGAGCGUGGAGCUGAGUUGAAUCGCCCAUGUCAGAGGGUCGGUGUUCCGGUCCUGCGCCGUCUUCGUCAGCUCCAGCACUUCGCGCCAUAGACUCUGUUGUUGAU
rnacentral:lncRNA from 1 species